GAGAGAGAGAGAGAGAGAGAGAGAGAUGCUAAUGUAGUUUGAAAUUAGUAAUUUACAUGAACUACUCCAAAAUAGCAUGCAAAUAUAAUAUUUCCAAGAGUGUUACCAUCACAUCUCUUUAGAAGUCCUGGGGUGUCUGUCACCUGAAAAUGCUGGAAGUCAAAAGCAAUAUGGCCCAUUAGAAUUCCCCUAGUUGUGAAAGGGUAAUUACAAACCUCAGGCUUCCCUGUUGAAAGUAUCCGAACCAAGGACGACUUUCCUACAUUAGGAGCUCCAACAAGACAAAGAGUUGGUGUUUCUAGAUCGACCACUGGCAUAGCCCGCAAAGUCUUGGCAAUGUUGAAUAAAGCAUCAACUGCCUUUCCUUCACGUUUAAAAGUUUCUUCAAGCUUUUCCAGACCCUCAUUCUCCAAAGCCUCUCGUUUCGUUAGAGACUUAGCACAUACUGAAGCGUGUUCCUUUCCAACAGACAACACCUUUUUCCUCAAAGCAUCUACUUUUCUCAACACCUGUCAAACCUUAGCUGAAUCUCUUCAUAAUUUCCAUCACCAAGAGUUAACUCAAUAAGUGACUGUUCAUAAGGAUGCAAAUAUCUCCUUUUAGGGAAGUUCUCCAAAUAUUCCCUUAACGGAACUGCCAAUUCUUUCAUCAAUGCAUCAAGUUGCUUUGCACCUUUAUUUCUCUCUCGCUUGGCAAUAUUAGCAAUGCCUUUUGUAGUAGGGACCCUCUUUGCCUUCCUCAAUGCUGAAUAAAGAAUAUCAACUGAUGGCAUCACCAUUGGUAGCUUUUGAAAUGCACCAACUGUUUCAAGUAUUUCUGGUGCUUUAUCUGUGGUUUUCUUCUGCUGUUGUUGUUUAGUCGUGGGAGUGGGUACGUAGCUUGCAUUCACAAUAUCAUACGUAACUGUCUGAAUACGUCUACAAAAGCAUGAAGUUGGGCAUUUUGUUAUUCCUGCCUUCACGAAUAGACCUGGAGAAAAAUUUGAGCUUCUUUGCAGAAAUUUGGUGGAGCUAAUCUGCCGUAGCGGCAAGAUACUUAAUGCUCUAGUCAUCUCUUCUAUAUCUCUGUGUCUGUCUCUCUUUUUUUUUUUUUUUUGAACCGUCCUCUGUCCUCCUUUCUCAAGUGGUUACGAAUUUUAUCUGUGAAAUUAAAAUCGCAGCAGUUUCACUUGCACUACC
rnacentral:misc_RNA from 1 species